GGCCAGACUCCUACGGGAGGCAGCAGUGAGGAAUAUUGGUCAAUGGGCGAGAGCCUGAACCAGCCAAGUCGCGUGAGGGAAGACGGUCCUAUGGAUUGUAAACCUCUUUUGCCGGGGAGCAAAAAGCGGUACGUGUACCGCAUCGAGAGUGCCCGGAGAAAAAGCAUCGGCUAACUCCGUGCCAGCAGCCGCGGUAAUACGGAGGAUGCGAGCGUUAUCCGGAUUUAUUGGGUUUAAAGGGUGCGUAGGCGGACAGUCAAGUCAGCGGUAAAAAUGCGGUGCUCAACGCCGUACAGCCGUUGAAACUGGCAGUCUUGAGUGGGCGAGAAGUAUGCGGAAUGCGUGGUGUAGCGGUGAAAUGCAUAGAUAUCACGCAGAACUCCGAUUGCGAAGGCAGCAUACCGGCGCUCAACUGACGCUCAUGCACGAAAGUGUGGGUAUCGAACAGGAUUAGAUACCCUUGUAC
rnacentral:rRNA from 1 species